rnacentral:lncRNA from 1 species
UCCAAGAGGUUGUGAAGGUUUAUUCAGUUAUAUAGAGGUAGUCCCGAUGCUAUGUGGGCUUUAGAUAGGAUAAAUUCUAUAAGUCCAUGAUAGAUGGCCAUAGAUAGGGGGAGGAUGGUAGGAGAAGGUUAUAGUGGAGAGGGAUUCAAAGGAGAUGAUAAUGGAGGAGAAGGAAGAAAAGAUAAGAUAGCGAUGGAAAGAAAGGUU